GGACCAUCACGUUGGUCGUGCCUAGGUACGUACUGGCAUCGUUGGUUUCUCCCUUCUGACGAACCAUGCUGUCAUUUAUUUGGGGUUGUGGGGAAUCAGGACUGUUACUUUGAAAAAAUUAGAGUGUUUAAAGCAGGCUCACGCUUGAAUACAUUAGCAUGGAAUAAUGAAAUAGGACGUUUGAUUCUAUUUUGUUGGUUUCUAGGAUUGACGUA
rnacentral:rRNA from 1 species